GAGUUUGAUCCUGGCUCAGAUUGAACGCUGGCGGCAGGCCUAACACAUGCAAGUCGAGCGGCAGCGGGAAGAUAGCUUGCUAUCUUCGCCGACGAGCGGCGGACGGGUGAGUAAUACCUGGGGAUCUGCCCAAUCGAGGGGGAUAACAGUUGGAAACGACUGCUAAUACCGCAUACGCCCUACGGGGGAAAGGAGGGGACCUUCGGGCCUUCCGCGAUUGGAUGAACCCAGGCGGGAUUAGCUAGUAGGUGAGGUAAUGGCUCACCUAGGCGACGAUCCCUAGCUGUUCUGAGAGGAUGGACAGCCACACUGGAACUGAGACACGGUCCAGACUCCUACGGGAGGCAGCAGUGGGGAAUAUUGGACAAUGGGGGAAACCCUGAUCCAGCCAUGCCGCGUGUGUGAAGAAGGCCUUCGGGUUGUAAAGCACUUUCAGUGGGGAGGAAAGGUUGAUGGUUAAUACCUAUCAGCUGUGACGUUACCCACAGAAGAAGCACCGGCUAACUCCGUGCCAGCAGCCGCGGUAAUACGGAGGGUGCAAGCGUUAAUCGGAAUUACUGGGCGUAAAGCGUGCGCAGGCGGUCUGUUAAGCNAGAUGUGAAAGCCCCGGGCUCAACCCUGGGAAACUGCAUUUCGAACUGGCAGACUAGAGUCUUGUAGAGGGGGGUAGAAUUCCAGGUGUANCGGUGAAAAUGCGUANAGAUCUGGAAGGAAUACCGGUGGC
rnacentral:rRNA from 1 species